GAAAGCUGUGUUAUGGGGUCAAACAAAUGAAUAUAUCUCCGCAAGUAUUCCAUCAGCAAAACUUAUCCAAUGUUCAUUGGGGAUGUGUGUGCAUAUUCACACCAAAUUUCAUCAAAAUCUGUGAUGGUCGACCUGGGAGCCCCAGACCAUUUUACAUGGAAUGACCUAUAAGAAAGAUGUACAAGGAAAUAACAACAGACCAAGGUGUAAUUCUAAUGAAACUGUCAAUGAAAUCUAAAUUCUGUCUUAGAAACACUUGUCUGUCAUGAAAGUGUGAAAUACUGUACAGCUAUAUUUGGAGAAUACUGAGUGACAUUAACUAUACGUUUCUUGUAUUAUUGCAGUAUCUCAAGAACAGUGCUGCUUUUGCCAAGAUCAUCACAACAUGAACUUUACUGAUGCUUUUGGAGAUUCCAAGGAAUGUUGGAAACAUACAACUCGUAAAUAGCUGGGAGAGUCCAAAUGGCGGAGAAGGUUUCCAGAACUUGACUCAUAAGGAAGCCAGUUAUCUGCCUAAGCUGUUUACGUGACAGUCCACCAAAGAAGAAGAAAGUCUCUUGAUUUUGAUAGUCACAG